rnacentral:rRNA from 1 species
AGGACGAACGCUGGCGGCGUGCUUAACACAUGCAAGUCGAGCGGUAAGGCCCUUUGGGGUACACGAGCGGCGAACGGGUGAGUAACACGUGAGUAACCUGCCCUGGACUUUGGGAUAACCCUCGGAAACGGGGGCUAAUACCGAAUACGACUUGGCCUCGCAUGGGGUUUGGUGGAAAGUUUUUCGGUCUGGGAUGGACUCGCGGCCUAUCAGCUUGUUGGUGGGGUAAUGGCCUACCAAGGCGACGACGGGUAGCC